ACCAUCCUUUCCUUGGGGCUGUGUGCUGUCCAGUGAGCAAACAGAGAGGGCAGUACUGCUAAUGCCUAACACCACACUCACAUCAACCAGAGCUCUGCUUUACCAUGGCACAAUUUUUAGAAAA